rnacentral:rRNA from 1 species
AGAGUUUGAUCCUGGCUCAGGAUGAACGCUAGCGGGAGGCUUAACACAUGCAAGUCGAGGGGCAGCACUAUGUAGCAAUACGUUGGUGGCGACCGGCGCACGGGUGAGUAACACGUAUGCAACCUACCCUGUACAGGGGGAUAACCCGGAGAAAUUCGGACUAAUAUCCCAUGAUGAUAUUUGGAGGCAUCUCUGGAUAUUUAAAGCUCAGGCGGUACGGGAUGGGCAUGCGCAACAUUAGCUAGUUGGCAGGGUAACGGCCUACCAAGGCUACGAUGUUUAGGGGACCUGAGAGGGUGAUCCCCCACACUGGUACUGAGACACGGACCAGACUCCUACGGGAGGCAGCAGUGAGGAAUAUUGGUCAAUGGGCGCAAGCCUGAACCAGCCAUCCCGCGUGCAGGAAGACGGCGCUAUGCGUUGUAAACUGCUUUUCCAGGGGGUGAAUUACCAUGACGUGUCGUGGUUUGACGGUACCCUGGGAAUAAGCAUCGGCUAACUCCGUGCCAGCAGCCGCGGUAAUACGGAGGAUGCGAGCGUUAUCCGGAUUUAUUGGGUUUAAAGGGUGCGUAGGCGGACGAAUAAGUCAGUGGUGAAAACCUGCAGCUUAACUGUAGACUUGCCGUUGAUACUGUUUGUCUUGAGUAUGGUCAAGGUAGGCGGAAUGUGUAAUGUAGCGGUGAAAUGCUUAGAUAUUACACAGAACACCGAUUGCGAAGGCAGCUUGCUGGGCCAUUACUGACGCUGAUGCACGAAAGCGUGGGGAUCGAACAGGAUUAGAUACCCUGGUAGUC